UACGUAGGGUGCGAGCGUUGUCCGGAAUUAUUGGGCGUAAAGAGCUCGUAGGCGGUCUGUCGCGUCGGUCGUGAAAACUUGGGGCUUAACCCUGAGCUUGCGGUCGAUACGGGCAUGACUGGAGUUCGGCAGGGGAGACUGGAAUUCCUGGUGUAGCGGUGAAAUGCGCAGAUAUCAGGAGGAACACCGGUGGCGAAGGCGGCUUUCUGGACAGAUACCGACGCUGAGGCACGAAAGCUAGGGGAGCAAACAGG
rnacentral:rRNA from 1 species